rfam:Lactobacillus perolens DSM 12744 Scaffold1, whole genome shotgun sequence.
UUCACCGUGAGGUGGAAUCUGAAGAAAGCAGUUACUAAAAUUUUUAAAAAAGAACGUUGACCGA